GACAUAGGUGGCAAGCGUUAUCCGGAAUUACUGGGCGUAAAGGGUGCGUAGGUGGUUUAAUUAGUUAUCGGUGGGGAAAUCGAGGCUCAACCUCGUGGAAGUCGGUAAUACUAUUGAACUAGAGGAUUGGAGAGGUUAACGGAAUGGUUCAUGUAGGGGUAAAAUCCUCAAAUAUGAGUUGGAACACCAAUUGGCGAAGGCAGUUAACUAUUCAAUUCCUGACGUUGAGGCACGAAAGCGUGGGGAGCAAGACGG
rnacentral:rRNA from 1 species